rnacentral:tRNA from 1 species
UGGCAUAAUUGUUAAGUGCUUGGCUGCUAACCAAAAGGUUGGUGGUUCGAGUCCACC